rnacentral:pre_miRNA from 1 species
AUGCCCUCAUACCUUGAGGGACAUGAGAACAGUCAGUAGCCCAAUGUCCCCACUGAUGGCAC